UAAGGAAUAUUGGUCAAUGGACGAAAGUCUGAACCAGCCAUCCCGCGUGCAGGAUGAAUGCCCUAUGGGUUGUAAACUGCUUUUAUAUGAGAAGAAACGCUUGGAUUUAUCCGAGCCUGACGGUAUCUUAUGAAUAAGCACCGGCUAACUCCGUGCCAGCAGCCGCGGUAAUACGGAGGGUGCAAGCGUUAUCCGGAAUCACUGGGUUUAAAGGGUGCGUAGGCGGUCAUGUAAGUCAGAGGUGAAAGCC
rnacentral:rRNA from 1 species